AAUAAUUAUGUAGAGAAUUAGUCCCAAUUUUAGCUUUAUUAACUGUGAGUUACAAUGUUGAUAGUGCUUGAAAAGUGUAUAACACAUGCCUAACAUUAUCCCACUUGUAUAUUGGGGUGUGCACUUAAAUAUUUGACCAAGAUAAGAAUUUACUUGUCAAAAUGUCAUCUUUAUCUUAAUUAAUAUGUGUUCCAAGACAUACAUCUUUUAUUUCUGCACUACAAGUCUUGUUAAUGUGGUAUAAUCUUAUGUCGUGCAAUGUCUAUCUCUAGUCUAUGAUGGACACCUUUGGUGUUUUGAUUUAGUUCUCUACUUUCCUGAAUGAUUUGGACUUUUUGAGACGCCACUCUACUUUUUUAUUGUCACGAGUACUUUGGUUCCUCUUGUGGUGGUUUCUUCUUCCCUUGGUAGUGCAUUCUUAAUUUAUGUGAUAUAAUAUUAGACUAUAGUACUCUUAUUUCGAGCAUGAUGAUAACCACUACGUAUAGCUAAUCUCGAUUAUAUUGCAACAUGUGUUAUAUUUAUUCUCAUGUGUAUGAAAAAGUUAUGUUCUUCUAUAUUGUUGUGCUAUUGGCAUCUUCGUAGUGCCUUGAUGGUUUGAUUAUCAAAUGUAUUUAUAAGCUAUGUGAAAUGUAUGAGCAAUUACUACAUCGUUUAUGUAUUGACUUAGCUAUUUUUGGCAUAGAAUGUAUAUGUAUCAUGAGAUGCUUAUGUAGGUUAUUAUUUCGUGUGUUGGUUUCAUUUAUUAGUGAUUUUUCUACUUUGUUAUUUUCUUUAAUAGAUAUGCUUAAGAUGGUUAAGUAUUGGAUUGAUGAAUUUAGUCAGGGUAUAUGCACGAAUUUGUGGUACCAAAAAGGUGCCACACUCCAAAAAAAAUUUUUAAAGUGCAUAAGGCGCACGCACUGUAGGGCGUGCGCCCUGUAGUGCAUACACCUUAUGUGCAUUGUAAACCUCAAAAAGACCUUGCUCCGCAUUUUGGAUGCAUUUUGGCAUUUUUGGGUGCUAUUUUCUUGCACUCGCCAUUUGUAAAAGCUUGAAAUUGGGCACUAAGUUGUCCAUCUCUCAUCAAAAUGCUGCCACACCAUCGAAGAGCUUGAAGAGGUAGGUAUUUUUAUUUUCUUAUUGUCAUUUUUUUUAUUAAUUUGAAGAUUAAACUAGGUUUAUUGAUUUAAAUUUAUUUUCAUUAUCACGAAAUGAGAUUAGACAAGAAAAUGUUGAAAACACUCAAUCACCUCCUCAUGAAGACCAUAUUGAAGAAGAAGCACAUCAAUUAGCUCCUCAUGAAGACCAUAUUGAAGAAGAAGCACAUCAAGAACCUCCUACAAUCCCUAGACACCCCAUAGGUACACAAGAAAACCUAUUAGGUCAAAUAGAAAAUAGCCAAAAAGAGCUUGAAGGUUUAAUCACAAGGCUAAAAGAUCCCACUGGAACAAACUCCCAUAGGACAAACCUUGCCAGUUCUUUGCAAUCUAUUGUAUCUCACAUACAAUCUUUGAGUGGGCAAAUAAAUUUUUGGUCCCAUAAGAAGGAAGAAAAAAAGCAAUUUUAUGCUAACAAAUUAUCAUAUGCGGCAGUGAAGAAAAAUAAAAUUAAUAAAUUUGACUCGUGUGCUCUUUUUACGGACCCCUCAACGAAUCAACCUUUACACCCUGGAUGUAGGAGAUCCCCUAUUCAUUGGUGUCAUCAUGAAGGGAUUAAGAACAAUUUUUGGGAUAGGUGGUGGAUGGUAUUUGAUCAGCCCCCAUGCAAUAAUCAUGAGGUACCCCAAUACUUUUUGAGAAAACUGUACUGUGAGUUUGUCCUUAAUGAGAUCCAAAACUAUUUUGAUUUUCUAGAUUUCCAAGGUAGAGAUGGGGGUUCCUCGCAUGAUAGAGAGGGUGCACAGUGGGAUCCAAAUCUCCCACCAAAACCCUUGGCCAGACCUAUGGUGGAGCAUUUUAUUGUUCCUUCCAUUGUGAAGGAGAGUAUUCAGCUUGAAACUCUAGACUCGAUUAGCUCACUCAAUCAGACCCUUAUACAGUAUGCUAGUCCUCUAGUAGAGGGUGAUGCGAGUCAUGAUGUUGAUUCUUCUAGGCAUCGAGUUCCAGCUCAUUUUUGUCGAUCUUUUGGUUCUCUUUUCACUUAUGAUCCUAAUAGUUCUGAGAAUGCACAUGCACGAGCGGAGUUUGCUACAAAGAACAUUGUCAUGAUAGAAUCCUUGCUGAACGAAACAUUUGGCAUUGAUACCCAGGUGAAUUUCAUUACAAGUUCAUUUCAUUCUUUUUAUUAAAUCCUAUAUGUAAAUUUGAGAAAAUAUUUAAAUUAGUAAAUUAUUAUGAUAAAAAAUCAGAGGUCAAAGUGUUCACAAUACUAGCAACAUUCUUGCAGUACCCUUUUUCACUACUUCAUCAACUCCACAGGUAUACACCGAGUGAAAAAAUAUAAUUAUUAUAUGUAGAUAGUUGAACCUUAUGUGAAUUAUUUUUUAAUUACUCAUUUUGGAUGUCAAAUAGUUUGAUGCUGGAGCUUCAACAUCAACACCUCGUAGUGUAUUUCAUCAACAAUCUUUCACCCAGAUGUUGAAUUCAGAGACUCCUCCUGCUAUCUACGCAUCAAUGGAGUGAGGUGUUGCUCCAGUAGUAGCAAGUUCAACUGCUUUAACAGAAGAGGGGCUUGUCACUCCAGAUCAUGAACGUGCACCUGUUGUGGAUGAACAUCAUGAUUAUUUGUAUGUGGUGGAGUUACAAAAAAUUCUAGAGAGGAGGUCAAGUGGACGUACUCAAAAGACACUUGCAUCAUAUACAUCUCCAUCCCCUCAACAAGAAAAGAUAUCUUGUGAUCUAUUUCCUUCCCCUAGAGGGAAAUGAAUAGAAUAGGGUCCUAUGUUGUAUGCCUAUAUGGCAAUUUUGAACAUAUGUUUUCUAUUAUGAAUAUUUGACAUUCUAUCGCCAUAUGGCUUUUGGCAAGCUCCUAUUUGACUUUAUUGGAUACCAUGUUGUAUGCCUAUAUGGCAAAUUUGAACAUAUGUUUUGUAUUAUGAAUAUGUGACAUUCUAUGUCCAUAUGGCUUUUGGCAAGCCCCUAUUUGACUUUAUUGGAUAUCAUGUUGUAUGCCUUUAUAGCAAUUUUGAACAUAUGUUUUGUUUUAUGAA